GACGAACGCUGGCGGCGUGCUUAACACAUGCAAGUCGAACGGAAAGGCCUGCUUUCCCUUGUGGAUUGCGGGUACUCGAGUGGCGAACGGGUGAGUAACACGUGAGUGAUCUGCCCCCAACUUGGGUAUAAGCCUGGGAAACUGGGUCUAAUUCCCGAUAGGACUGCAGGGUGGUGCCUGUGGUGGAAAACGAUUUUCUAGUGGUUGGGGAUGAGCUCGCGGCCUAUCAGCUUGUUGGUGGGGUAAUGGCCUACCAAGGUGGCGACGGGUAGCCGGCCUGAGAGGGUGGACGGCCACAUUGGGACUGAGAUACGGCCCAGACUCCUACGGGAGGCAGCAGUGGGGAAUAUUGCACAAUGGGCGGAAGCCUGAUGCAGCGACGCCGCGUGGGGGAUGACGGCCUUCGGGUUGUAAACUCCUUUCGACCGCGAGGAAGCCACCUGGUUGGAAGGGUGGUGACGGUAGUGGUAGAAGAAGCACCGGCUAACUACGUG
rnacentral:rRNA from 1 species